rnacentral:rRNA from 1 species
ACUCCUAGGGAGGCAGCAGUGGGGAAUAUUGGACAAUGGGGGCAACCCUGAUCCAGCAAUGCCGCGUGAAUGAUGAAGGCCUUAGGGUUGUAAAGUUCUUUUAUUGAUGACGAUAAUGACGGUAGUCAAUGAAUAAGCACCGGCUAACUUCGUGCCAGCAGCCGCGGUAAUAC